AAAGGAAUUGACGGAAGGGCACCCCCAGGAGUGGAGCCUGCGGCUUAAUUUGACUCAACACGGGAAAACUUACCAGGUCCAGACAUAGGUAGGAUUGACAGAUUGAGAGUUCUUUCAUGAUUUUAUGGGGGGUGGGCAUGGCCGUUUUUAGUUGGUGGAGUGAUUUGUUUGGUUAAUUCCGUUAACGAACGAGACUCGGCUUAUUAAAUAGUGCGUGGUAUGGCAACAUAGUACGUUUUAACUUUUUAGAGGGACAUGUCCGGUUUACGGGCAGGAAGUUCGAGGCAAUAACAGGUUUGUGAUGCCCUUAGAUGUUUGGGCCGCACGCGCGCUACACUGAUGGGUUCAUCGGGUUUUAAUUUUAUUUUUUGGAUUGAGUGCUUGGUCGGAAGGCCUGGCUAAUCCUUGGAACGCUCAUCGUGCUGGGGCUAGUUUUUGCAAUUAUUAAUCUCCAACGAGGAAUUCCUAGUAAACGCAAGUCAUCAGCUUGCUUGAAUACGUCCCUGCCCUUUGUACACACCGCCCGUCGCACCUACCGAUUGAACGGUCCGAUGAAACCAUGGGAUGUUUCUGUUUGGAUUGAUUUUUGGACAGAGGCAGAACUCGGG
rnacentral:rRNA from 1 species